UAUAUAUAUAUAUAUAAUUUCUAGUACGUACGUACGUACGUAGCUGGAUGGAUCGAGGGAUCAUUCAUGCCAGCAAAGGAGCAUGACAACGCAACGUUUAAUGAUAUAGAGCCUGGCCCUUUGUUGUCUAAGGACUCCUCCAAGUCCUUUGCUUGCAAUCCUUCUCUUGGAUCUCCCACUAGCAGUGCCGUUCAUCAUCUUCUUCUUAAUUAAUUUUAUAUCUGGAUAUUGAUACUGAUCUUGAUCUUGGUAUCUUAACUACUAGUAGUAGUAGUAGCAGCAGCUAGCUAGAAGCAAACUAAAUUGUGUGCCUGAGAUGAGAGAGAAUACAAAGGAGGUUUUCAGAUAUGUUGGGAUUGAAUUGAAGGGAAGGGGGGAAUUAAUGGAUUGUAAGAAGAAAGAAGGGAGGUUGCUAUUUAUAUAUAGGAAGGUGGUAGCUACGACCUCGUGCUCCUGCCUUAAUUAUAAACUGUAUUGUAUUGGUCUAGUAAUGAAGAGCCAAC
rnacentral:lncRNA from 1 species